rnacentral:rRNA from 1 species
GACGAACGCUGGCGGCGUGCUUAACACAUGCAAGUCGAACGCUGAAGCUCAGCUUUUGUUGGGUGGAUGAGUGGCGAACGGGUGAGUAACACGUGAGUAACCUGCCUCCUUCUUUGGGAUAACGCCCGGAAACGGGUGCUAAUACUGGAUAUUCACUGGUCUUCGCAUGGGGGUUGGUGGAAAGGGCUUUUCUGGUGGGGGAUGGGCUCGCGGCCUAUCAGCUUGUUGGUGGGGUGACGGCCUACCAAGGCUUUGACGGGUAGCCGGCCUGAGAGGGUGACCGGUCACAUUGGGACUGAGAUACGGCCCAGACUCCUACGGGAGGCAGCAGUGGGGAAUAUUGCACAAUGGGCGCAAGCCUGAUGCAGCGACGCCGCGUGAGGGAUGGAGGCCUUCGGGUUGUGAACCUCUUUCGCUCAUGGUCAAGCCGCAACAAUGGUUGUGGUGAGGGUAGUGGGUAAAGAAGCGCCGGCUAACUACGUG